UACGUAGGGUGCAAGCGUUAAUCGGAAUUACUGGGCGUAAAGCGUGCGCAGGCGGUUAUGUAAGACAGAUGUGAAAUGCCCGGGCUUAACCUGGGAACUGCAUUUGUGACUGCAUGGCUAGAGUGUGUCAGAGGGGGGUAGAAUUCCACGUGUAGCAGUGAAAUGCGUAGAGAUGUGGAGGAAUACCGAUGGCGAAGGCAGCCCCCUGGGAUAACACUGACGCUCCAUGCACGAAAAGCGUGGGGGAGCAAACAGG
rnacentral:rRNA from 1 species